UACGAAGGGGGCUAGCGUUGCUCGGAAUUACUGGGCGUAAAGAGCUUGUAGGCGGUUUGUCGCGUCUGCUGUGAAAACUCGAGGCUUAACCUCGAGCUUGCAGUGGGUACGGGCAGACUAGAGUGUGGUAGGGGAGACUGGAAUUCCUGGUGUAGCGGUGAAAUGCGCAGAUAUCAGGAGGAACACCGAUGGCGAAGGCAGGUCUCUGGGCCACUACUGACGCUGAGAAGCGAAAGCAUGGGGAGCGAACAGG
rnacentral:rRNA from 1 species